rnacentral:rRNA from 1 species
GACGAACGCUGGCGGCGUGCUUAACACAUGCAAGUCGAACGAGACGAUUGAAAGCUUGCUUUCGAAAGUCGAGUGGCAAACGGGUGAGUAACGCGUAGACAACCUGCCUUUGAGAUGGGGACAACAGUUCGAAAGGACUGCUAAUACCGAAUGUUGUAUAUUUUCCACAUGGAAGAUAUAUUAAAGAUGGCCUCUAUUUAUAAGCUAUCGCUCAAAGAUGGGUCUGCGUCUGAUUAGCUAGUUGGUGGGGUAACGGCCUACCAAGGCGACGAUCAGUAGCCGGUCUGAGAGGAUGAACGGCCACAUUGGGACUGAGACACGGCCCAGACUCCUACGGGAGGCAGCAGUGGGGAAUCUUCCACAAUGGACGAAAGUCUGAUGGAGCAACGCCGCGUGAGUGAAGAAGGGUUUCGGCUCGUAAAGCUCUGUUGUCGGGGACGAAUGUGCAGUAUUUGAAUAAAGUACUGUAAUGACGGUACCUGACGAGGAAGCCACGGCUAACUACGUGCCAGCCGCCGCGGUAA